UCCCUGGAGGUCCAGUGGUUAGGACUCCAAGCUUCCAAUGCAUGGUGCACAGGUUCAAUCCCUGUUCAGGGAA